rnacentral:rRNA from 1 species
CUGUGUCCUUCGACGUCGGUUCACCGCUUGUCGGUGCUAACUGUCGUUUUGCGGGACGUCCUGUCGGUGGCGCGCCACGGAUCUCAGUUGUGCUUCGGGUUCAUUCCUGAUGCCGGCUUUGGUUCUGGGCCGCUUUCAUAAUCCCGCCGCGGUGCUCUUUACCGAGUGUCGAGGCGGGCCGGCACGUUUACUUUGAACAAAUUAGAGUGCUUCAAGCAGGCUCUUCAUGCCUGUAUACUGUGUGCAUGGAAUAAUGGAAUAGGACCUCGGUUCUAUUUUGUUGGUUUCCGGAAUCUGAGGUAAUGAUCAAUGGGGACAGGCGGGGGCAUUCGUAUUGCGACGUUAGAGGUGAAAUUCUUGGAUCGUCGCAAGACGGACCGAAGCGAAAGCAUUUGCCAAGUAUGUUCCCGUCGAUCAAGAACGAAAGUUAGAGGUUCGAAGGCGAUCAGAUACCGCCCUAGUUCUAACCAUAAACAAUGCCUGCCAGCGAUCCGCCGGCGUCCCUCCGAUGACCCGGCGGGCAGCUUCCGGGAAACCAGAGCUUUUGGGUUCCGGGGGAAGUAUGGUUGCAAAGCUGAAACUUAAAGGAAUUGACGGAAGGGCACCACCAGGAGUGGAGCCUGCGGCUUAAUUUGACUCAACACGGGAAAACUCACCAGGCCCGGACACCGGAAGGAUUGACAGAUUGAUAGCUCUUUCUUGAUUCGGUGGGUGGUGGUGCAUGGCCGUUCUUAGUUGGUGGAGCGAUUUGUCUGGUUAAUUCCGAUAACGAACGAGACUCUAGCCUACUAACUAGACGUAUCUGGUAUCAGCAAUCGUGCUACCAGCGAUCAUAUCUCUUCUUAGAGGGACAGGCGGCUUCUAGCCGCACGAGACUGAGCAAUAACAGGUCUGUGAUGCCCUUAGAUGUCCUGGGCCGCACGCGCGCUACACUGAAGGAAUCAGCGUGUCUUCCCUGUCCGAAAGGACCGGGUAACCCGCUGAACCUCCUUCGUGCUUGGGAUUGGGGCUUGCAAUUGUUCCCCAUGAACGAGGAAUUCCCAGUAAGCGCGAGUCAUAAGCUCGCGUUGAUUACGUCCCUGCCCUUUGUACACACCGCCCGUCGCUACUACCGAUUGAAUGAUUUAGUGAGGUCUUCGGACCGGUGCGCGGAGGCGGUUUCACCGCUCCCGAUGUUGUCGGAAAGAUGACCAAACUUGAUCAUU